rnacentral:rRNA from 1 species
UGUUUCCUACGGGGGGCAGCAGUAGGGAAUCUUCCACAAUGGGCGAAAGCCUGAUGGAGCAACGCCGCGUGGGUGAAGAAGGUCUUCGGAUCGUAAAACCCUGUUGUUAGAGAAGAAAGUGCGUGAGAGUAACUGUUCACGUUUCGACGGUAUCUAACCAGAAAGCCACGGCUAACUACGUGCCAGCAGCCGCGGUAAUACGUAGGUGGCAAGCGUUAUCCGGAUUUAUUGGGUGUAAAGGGCGUGCAGCCGGAGAGGCAAGUCAGAUGUGAAAUCCGCGGGCUCAACUCGCGAACUGCAUUUGA